UAUCAAAGUCCCGAGGUGUUAACACAUCAAAAUGCAGUUUGAAGAUGAGCCCANAAGGGCUCCGGG
rnacentral:tRNA from 1 species